rnacentral:sRNA from 1 species
UGUAUCUGAAGUCUGACGAGGAUGAGAACCUCCGGGGGCAAGAGGUUCGACCCGAGCGAAGCGAGAGAACGUUGCGCCAGCAACGGCCCGCAGGGC